GACGAACGCUGGCGGCGUGCUUAACACAUGCAAGUCGAACGAUGAAGCUGGAGCUUGCUCCGGUGGAUUAGUGGCGAACGGGUGAGUAACACGUGAGCAAUCUGCCCUUGACUCUGGGAUAACUGCGGGAAACUGUAGCUAAUACCGGAUACGAGACUUGGAGGCAUCUCCAGGUCUGGAAAGAAUUUCGGUCAAGGAUGAGCUCGCGGCCUAUCAGCUAGUUGGUGAGGUAAUGGCUCACCAAGGCGACGACGGGUAGCCGGCCUGAGAGGGUGACCGGCCACACUGGGACUGAGACACGGCCCAGACUCCUACGGGAGGCAGCAGUGGGGAAUAUUGCACAAUGGGCGAAAGCCUGAUGCAGCAACGCCGCGUGAGGGAUGAAGGCCUUCGGGUUGUAAACCUCUUUUAGCAGGGAAGAAGCGAAGGUGACGGUACCUGCAGAAAAAGCACCGGCUAACUACGUGCCAGCCGCCGCCGUAA
rnacentral:rRNA from 1 species